UGAGGAAUAUUGGUCAAUGGGCGUAAGCCUGAACCAGCCAAGUAGCGUGAGGGAAGACUGCCCUAUGGGUUGUAAACCUCUUUUGUGCGGGGAUAAAGUGUGGGACGUGUCCCAUAUUGCAGGUACCGCACGAAUAAGGACCGGCUAAUUCCGUGCCAGCAGCCGCGGUAAUACGGAAGGUCCGGGCGUUAUCCGGAUUUAUUGGGUUUAAAGGGAGCGCAGGCCGUCCUUUAAGCGUGCUGUGAAAUGCCGCGGCUCAACCGUGGCACUGCAGCGCGAACUGGAGGACUUGAGUACGCACGAGGUAGGCGGAAUUCGUGGUGUAGCGGUGAAAUGCUUAGAUAUCACGAAGAACUCCGAUUGCGAAGGCAGCUUACCGGAGCGCAACUGACGCUGAGGCUCGAAAGCGCGGGUAUCGAACA
rnacentral:rRNA from 1 species